CCUACGGGAGGCAGCAGUGGGGAAUCUUGCGCAAUGGGCGAAAGCCUGACGCAGCCAUGCCGCGUGAAUGAUGAAGGUCUUAGGAUUGUAAAAAUUCUUUCACCGGGGACGAUAAUGACGGUACCCGGAGAAGAAGCCCCGGCUAACUUCGUGCCAGCAGCCGCGGUAAUACGAAGGGGGGCUAGCGUUGCUCGGAAUUACUGGGCGUAAAGGGAGCGUAGGCGGAUAGUUUAGUCAGAGGUGAAAGCCCAGGGCUCAACCUUGGAAUUGCCUUUGAUACUGGCUAUCUUGAGUAUGGGAGAGGUUAGCGGAACUCCGAGUGUAGAGGUGAAAUUCGUAGAUAUUCGGAAGAACACCAGUGGCGAAGGCGGCUAACUGGCCCAUUACUGACGCUGAGGCUCGAAAGCGUGGGGAGCAAACAGGAUUAGAUACCCUGGUAGUCCACGCCGUAAACGAUGAGUGCUAAUUGUCGGUCGAUGCAUGCAUGUCGGUGACGCAGCUAACGCAUUAAGCACUCCGCCUGGGGAGUACGGUCGCAAGAUUAAAACUUAAAUGAAUUGACGG
rnacentral:rRNA from 1 species